rnacentral:ncRNA from 1 species
GUCUUGUAUGAAAGGAGAGAAGGUUAGCACUCCCCUUGACAAGGAUGGAAGAGGCCCUCGGGCCUGACAACACGCAUAUAGGAAGUGGUUAAGGACAAAAAGAGAUAUACCAAUCCAAAAGUGCCAAUAUUU